AAGGAAUAGAAAUGGAAGAGUUAGAGGCAGUGUUAUGCUAGAGCUGUCCCUUAGCGAGCUGAUUUUAAAGCUUGAAAUCGGCCAUGGAUAAAUUCCCAGAAGUGGAAGACAUUGCCAAGUUUUUCUUCAGAAAGAUGG
ensembl:lncRNA LINC02276 long intergenic non-protein coding RNA 2276